AUAUAUGGUGGGGUUAAACAAAGAAUACCCCUAUGUAUAGAGAAUAAAGAAUAGAUCUGAGCCCUUAAAACCGCUUAAUCGUUCGGUUAAAAAUAAAUCUGCUGCCCCAUUUUAAUUACCACAAUUAUUGUUCAAAAUUACAUUUUAUAUAGAAUAAGGGUAUUUCAGUAACUGUGCAAAUUAGUAAAAAUGGCAACCACCGAAUUUUACUCCCAUUUACCUCAUUUCAUCUCCCCCCACCCCAUUUUACUCCCAAUAUACCCUACAAUCGGUAACUUCUCUCUUCCCCUGCCUGUUCUUGGUUUCGGCGGCUGUCCAUAGCAGAGCGCGCGUCGCUGCGAUCGGCGAUGAUACUCUGCGCGGCGGGUUUCCAAGUUUUUCGACAAGAAUUAGUUUCCAUUUACAGAUUUUCGACCAUCUCUUCUAUUUUCGAUUGUUCAUUGAAUCAUUUUUUUUUCCGAUUAUUUCGUAGUUCUUGGUCGACAAUUUGGAAUAGAGGUUUUCUGCUUGAAGAUACAGCGUGGCUGAAAUCAAACAGAGCUUAUCAGGUUCAGCCAGUUCAGACAACAUAUAACUCCACAUCCUCUGAUAAUGAUUAUCAGAUUAAGGGCUUUGAUUUUUACUAGUUUGUCGAUGCAUAGUGUGAUACAAAGAGACUAUGUGGGUGAGGAUUAUGAAUGUUGAAGAGACUGAAUUCGAACUGAUCAUUAGGUUUUUUGAAACAAGAGUGUUUUGUUUGAUUGAUGAACUAUUUCUCUAAUGUCAUUGUAACAUGUAGCAGUUAUGUUGCCUGGGUGAAAGGUUUGCGAAGAGUUAAUGUUGGUUUGAUUUUUCAUUUGAGUUUCUGUUCAUCAAAGAGUUGUAUUAUGUUCAUUUAGAAUUUUGUUAUGUUCAUUGUAAAAUAUAAAUAUUUGAGGUUUGCGAA